rnacentral:lncRNA from 1 species
AAAGCGGCCACGCGAGUCAUACUGGCGGUCGUUGAUGUAGUCCUCCAAGCUCACCUGCACCUGGGAACGCAGCCGCUUGAUCUUCCCUGGAUCGCUCAGCCCCUUGGCAUCGUACCUGGGUCAAAGAAGAUGAUGGCUUUGAGGUAGGCAUACUCAUUGUCAUCGAUCUGCAGCUCCUGGAAGGGCAGCACCAGCUCGUCAAGGAUGCGUAUGGACACCCGGCUCAUCUCCGCCAGCUCCGGGCAGUGCCGAGGGACAAUG